GUUUUUCUGUAUGUUUAAGUUCUGAUUCAAACCCAUGAUUGAAUCCUCAAUCACUCUAUUUGAAAAAAGUUGAACUUGGAGAUAGUGUUACUCUCAGUUGUACAGAUUUGAAAAAUCAGAAUAUCAAUAAAGAGUUAUACUGGUACAAGCAAUCUCUGGGAUAUUAUCCCCUAAUGGUAGCUAGCAAAUUUUAUACAUCAAAGAUUAACAAGUCUUUUAUGUUGAGGUUCAAUGUGGGAAAUGGAAGUAACUUCAAUUUGACAAUCAGCAAUGUUAAAAAAGAGGAUGAAGCAAAUUAUUUCUGUAAUCAAGGAGGACAAUAUCUAAAUAUUUGGAAUAAUGGUGUUUUCCUGACCGUCAAAGGUAAAUCAUAUAUUUGUUAGGAUAUUUUGUUGUUUUAAAUAUAAUCGAAAAUUGUGAUACUGUUGGCUUGGUGUCUGGAUUAUAUGGUUAGAAAGAGGAUUAUAAUCCUCUUUCUAACCUGAAAUAAAAAGCAAGUUUGUGAGCAUUGCAAAGGAACACUGAGAGCCUCCUACCAUGUUGCACAUGACUCAGUGAUUCAGGAACAACAGGAAGGAGAAACAGAUUUGGAAAACUAUGCAGCGUUGGAGUUCUCCAGUGAAAGGACUCAGGAGAGUUUGUAUUCUACUUUGAGAGAAACUUGCCACUGAAGUCCAUCAACCAGGUCCUAUUAUAGUUUGAUCGGGUGGAUGUCUAGUACAUUUCUAAAAGGGAUAAAAAGUACAAUCUCAAGUUAAGAUGAAAGAUACAAUAAAUAAUACGAUUUAGACAAAACUCAAAUGGAAGGACAUGUUUACAGCGCUGGUAGGAGAUUCAGUUCAAAGUAUU